UACCCAUAUGGAAGGAAUGAGGGUUACUGA
rnacentral:piRNA from 1 species